rnacentral:piRNA from 1 species
UACAAGAUAGGGUAGGAUGUUAG